AUUGAACGCUGGCGGCAGGCCUAACACAUGCAAGUCGAGCGGAUGAAGGGAGCUUGCUCCUGGAUUCAGGGCGGACGGGUGAGUAAUGCCUAGGAAUCUGCCUGGUAGUGGGGGAUAACGUCCGGAAACGGGCGCUAAUACCGCAUACGUCCUGAGGGAGAAAGUGGGGGAUCUUCGGACCUCACGCUAUCAGAUGAGCCUAGGUCGGAUUAGCUAGUUGGUGGGGUAAAGGCCUACCAAGGCGACGAUCCGUAACUGGUCUGAGAGGAUGAUCAGUCACACUGGAACUGAGACACGGUCCAGACUCCUACGGGAGGCAGCAGUGGGGAAUAUUGGACAAUGGGCGAAAGCCUGAUCCAGCCAUGCCGCGUGUGUGAAGAAGGUCUUCGGAUUGUAAAGCACUUUAAGUUGGGAGGAAGGGCAGUAAGUUAAUACCUUGCUGUUUUGACGUUACCAACAGAAUAAGCACCGGCUAACUUCGUG
rnacentral:rRNA from 1 species